GCACGUACAAUCAGAAACCAUUAAAGACAGCUGUGGGAAGGUUGCCGGAAGUAGCGAGUGGGGAAUUCUCGGGUGUUUUUUCUGGAGGUCAGGUGUUUUGGAUGGUGAGCCCAGGACCCAGAACCAAAGCCUGAACUCUGGACAACUAGUCUGCAGCCGUUCUAUCUGUGAAUUCCACCUGCUCUGGUCGGGCUGGAAGGGGGCUUCUUGCAGCAACCCACUUUUCUCUUCUCCAGUUCCCUCACUACUCAGUCACUCGCCCUUUCACACAUCCACUCACACAAUUCCCCUCCUACACUCCGGAUUACCCUCUGUUGGACACCUUGGCCGUUACGAUUGACUAUGAAGUCUUGAGAGUGAACUGUUGUGUUGAGCCUUGAUGAACUGAAUUAUCUUGAGCAUAAAAAGAUGUGAAUCAUCUUUUGUUGUAAAUAAUUAUUGUAUGGCCAUUCUAUGUGUGUAGAUGUAUUUUUUUCUUUGUUUUCCAAUAUAUGGUACCAUCAAAUGCA